CUAAGUGCCUACUACAAGAAAACCGUGCAUCGCUGCUCGGACAGCGCGACAGCAACCGGUAAUGUUUGUCGUCACUCAUAUAUUUGUCGCUUCCAGCCAAAUUAUUUUGGGUAUUUAAAGCCACACGAAUUUUAGCUUUUCCCGUGUAUCUGUAGCAUCUAAAAGAUCAUUAACCGACUAGGUUGCAAAGGAAUUUCCUUCGAAUUAACUGCGCCGUAGUGUGCAUAGUUAGGUUUUCAAGCGACACUUCCUACUUUCUGGCAAUCAUGGUUCGAACGGAAAUUCAGCUGCUCCUGUUGGCCUUCGCGUUAUGCUAUAUCUGUCAUACCGCAGCGGCAGAUAAUACUGAUGGCGGGAAACUUAAGCGAGAGUUUUCCCUGAUGUACCUUGGAAAACCGCCGCAGUGUUCGAUGAAACGCUGUGGACCCGGAGCAAAUAAUGCCUGUGCGCUACCGUGUGUGUGCAGCAAUAUGGGAGACCCGCGAAGAAGAGGAAGAUGCUACGGUUCAUACAAAAAUUCGGAUAAUGGAGACGGCUCUUACUAAGCAUUUUCUGCAUUCCUAAGGAAAGGCUAGCAAACUAUAAUCGCCGCCAAAGAUAAUAUGUUCCGAAACAUGUAGAGCCUUUUAUUUUUUCCUUUCCAAUACAAAUGCAGACGAACUGGUUGCAGUUUUUGCUGUAAUGUUGUGACAAAAGUAUUACGAUUUUCCUAAUAUUUCAGAUAGUAUAUACUGCUUUGUGAGAUCACUGCUUGGGUUUCUGUGAUUAGAUGGUCCAUAGUUAAUUUAUGCAGUGCUUGUGUUUUUAGUAAAGAGGCUGUAGCAAUAA